GAGUGAAAAACCGUGAGAGAGAAGGGAGAAGGGAGAAAGAAGAAGAAGAAGAGAAAAGAGGGAAUUUAGAAAGGAAAUAGAAAGGAGUUGGAGGAAAUAAGUAAAAAGGUAAGAUUUAGGUUGUUAAAUGUAUAAAUUUGUAUUAUUGAGCUUUUAAUUUUGGUUUUGAUAAAUGUUAGGGUUUUGAAAAUUUGUGUUUUGGGUUUAAUUGAUGAAUUAAAUUGAAUGUUAUAAGGUUGAUUGUUAUGGGUAAUUGAUUAAUGAGUUGAUUAUGGAAGAUUGUGAUGAUUUUGAGUUAUGAAUUGUGUAAAUGGUGAAUGUUGAGUUAGAAAUUUGGCAAGAACAGUAGGUUUCUGUUAAAAAUUCUGGGUUGGAGGUUGAAGAUGACGAAAAUUCAAUUUGGUCCCUCAAUUUUGGAAAAUUACAGUUUAGUCCCCAAACUUUGGAAAAUUUGCAGAUUGGUCCCUGGAGCAUAUUCCGAGAUUCUGAACAGAAUAACAUAUGAAUUAUGGACAGAAUUACUGUAUAGAUAAGAGAAUUUAACACUUUCAAUUUAGUCCUUCAAUUUGACAAAAAUUACAAUUUGACCCUAAAAAUUUGGUAAAAUUCCAGAAUGGUCCUUGGAGUAUAAUGAGAUGAUCUGGACAGAAAUGAGGACUAAUUAUGGUCAGAAUUUCAGUAUAUUCAUGGAUUUAUGAUAAAUUUCAGUUUGGUCCUCCAAUUGGACAAAAAUUGCAAUUUGACCCUUAAAAUAGGAUAAAUUACAGAUUGGUCCCUAGCUGUAAUAUUAGCCUUUUCAGAUUAGUUUGAUGAAUAAUUAAGGGUUAUUUAGUGAAUUAUUGCCAAUUUUAUUAGUUGUUUUAUUAUGGAUUAGAUUUCGGGAAAACCGUUAAAUUUUGGGUUUUUGAGAAAAUUGACUAGUUAGUUCAAAAACAUAUAGGGUUACGGAAUACAUCAUUAGUUAAGUUUAUUAAAUAGGUUAAAUGUUCUUUUGAGUCGUUCUUGAAUAUGUCUCCUUUGUAUUCAGAUAAUCCUGAUAUUCUACCGACAGGACGUCAGUAGGAUUUUCUUCGGUGUCUGCUUUUGGCUUCUGUUUGCUUUUGAGUCAGGUGAGUGGAUAAUUUUCCAUAUGCAUGAGAAAUAGUAUAAAUAUUUGAUUUGUUAUUAUGAAUUGAAUCAUGCUUCUUGAUAAUAUAUAUGUUGAUUAUUAUCCUUGUUAUGAUAAAGCAUGAUCAAUUGUUGAAUCUGAAUUCUUGAUAUGAACCAGUAUAUAUUUUGAAUUGAAUUCUGAAUUGAUAGCUCCUCAUUUGAUUGAUGUCAUGAGUUGAGCCUUGAGAUUUGAAUAUGUCUGUUUAAUUAUGAUUAUGAACCUAUGGUAUGUCAGUCAGAAUACCCAUGCUAACAGGUUAGUGUUAGUCUUUGUGCACAUCGUAUCUGAACCCUAGUUGGUCGGGGGAGUCACCAACCUGUGUGGACUGAUCAUCCCACAGUACGGAGCCUCAUGCUCAUUGCAUUUUGAUUUUCUGACGAGCUUUACCAUAUGAUAUUCUUGUUAUGGCCUAUUUGAAAAACCUUUCUAUAAGAACCUAGAGCCAUACUUGUAUAUAUAUUUCUCAUUGCUGUAUUACCUCGUGUGUGUAUAUUGAACGUUAUCUACUCACUGAGUUGUUGAACUCACCAUCUCAUUAUUUAUCCUUUUCAGGCUUAUAGCUUGAUAGCAGGUCAUUUUGUUGGACCUUCAGAACCUGCUUUUUGGUUGUAAUUUGUACCUUCCUUUUAUGUCAAGUUAGUGCUCCAAAACUAUGAAUUAUAUUAACUCUUGUAUUAAGACAAUUCAAUUAUAUUAUGAAGUUGAUUUUGUUGUUAAUGCUGCGUUGAACUCUGAUUGAGUUAGGAUAAGUUUGUGUGUAAGUUUGGGUUCGCAUAGGUAUGGAACCUUGGAGGGGAACCUUGC
rnacentral:lncRNA from 1 species